UACGAAGGGGGCUAGCGUUGUUCGGAAUUACUGGGCGUAAAGCGCACGUAGGCGGAUAUUUAAGUCAGGGGUGAAAUCCCAGAGCUCAACUCUGGAACUGCCUUUGAUACUGGGUAUCUUGAGUAUGGAAGAGGUAAGUGGAAUUGCGAGUGUAGAGGUGAAAUUCGUAGAUAUUCGCAGGAACACCAGUGGCGAAGGCGGCUUACUGGUCCGGUACUGACGCUGAGGUGCGAAAGCGUGGGGAGCAACAGG
rnacentral:rRNA from 1 species